CGGCAAGGGCGGGGUGCUAUACAUGCAAGUCGAGCGGAUUGAUGGGAGCUUGCUCCCUGAUAUCAGCGGCGGACGGGUGAGUAACACGUGGGUAACCUGCCUGUAAGACUGGGAUAACUCCGGGAAACCGGGGCUAAUACCGGAUAACUCAUUUCCUCGCAUGAGGAAAUGUUGAAAGGUGGCUUCUAGCUACCACUUACAAAUGGACCCGCGGCGCAUUACCUAUUUGGUGAGGUAACGGCUCACCAAGGCAACAAUGCGUACCCAACCUGAAAGGGUGAUCGGCCACCCUGGGACUGAAACACGGCCCAAACUCCUACGGAAGGCACCAUUAGGGAAUCUUCCGCAAUGGACAAAAGUCUGACGGACCACCGCCCCGUGAUUGAUGAAGGUUUUCGAAUCGUAAAGCUCUGUUGUUAGGGAAAAACAAUUGCCGUUCAAAUAGGGCGGCACCUUGACGGUACCUAACCAAAAAGCCACGGCUAACUACUUGCCACCACCCGCGGUAAUACUUAGGUGGCAAGCGUUGUCCGGAAUUAUUGGGCGUAAAGCGCGCGCAGGUGGUUCCUUAAUUCUGAUGUGAAAGCCCACGGCUCAACCGUGAAGGGUCAUUGAAAACUGGGGAACUUGAUUGCAGAAAAGGAAAGUGGAAUUCCAAUUGUACCGGUGAAAUGCGUAGAUAUUUGAAGGAACACCAGUG
rnacentral:rRNA from 1 species